AAGGGGAGAAAGCAGAAGGAAGGGGCUUCCUAGCUUUGCCCCUUUUUGUAUCCUGCUGAAAGCUGUGGCAGGGGUUGAGUGUGAGGAGGCAUGGGGACAUGAAUGAGUUUCCCCUCUGCAGCAUUUGCCUUGAGUGGAGGAUGGGGUAAACUUCCCAGUGUAGCCCAGAAAAAAAUCUAGCUCACAGUGGCUGAAGACUGUUGACUUAACAGCUAUACAGGCACCUGCAGACACAGGUUGUAUGACGGGAGCGCAUCUGUUGAAUGCUGUUGCAGUUAUGUCACAGGCAAAAUAGGACUUACUGGGCUAGUCUGUGCCCUGGUCACUGUGAGUGCAUCAUUUUAGAACAUCAUUAUUUUGGAAAAAAGGAAGGACCACAUUCUAAAUUCCAAACAGCUGACUCAUGAGCGGACUUUUGGAAGCCACCAACCCUUUGUCAUUGAGAGCUGCCUGAUCGCAGGGUCACACAGAGGUGUAUAAAGGCCGGACUUCAGGCAGUCAUGUGAGCAUGCUCACAGAGGCCGAGUCGUGUGGCAAGCCUCGUGGAGAAGUCUGCAGGCUUCUUGCUCCUAAGAAGAUGUGAAUUUGGAGUAGUGAGCUGGAGAAGCAGCUGGCUCUAGAUUUAUCCCCCAAGUGGUGGGAUAAAUGCCCGAGGAAGGAGACCCCAGCACGUUGAAAAAAAAAAUCAUCGUAUUUGAUGAAAAGCAUUCAGAGGCUGGAUUGUAGUAGGGGUAGAGGUACAUAGAAGGAGAAGGGUGCAGGAAAGAUAUUCUUUCCACUGCCAAUGAGAUGAUAAAGGACUAUUCAGCUUUUAAACCUCAGGGGCUGGUGAACAUUUGUUGGCUGAAGGUAGAAGGGUUUUAUCUACUCAAGGCACCUUUUUGGGAGAGGGGAUCAGAGAUGACUCACCCAAGUGAGGGAGGCAGCCCCUAGCCCACAUCCUAGGCCAGAAUGUAGGGGAGACGCAGCUGCAGGAGCCACCUGUGGGGGACUGCACCCAAAUAGCUGGAGGUCUGAGGCACUAGUGUGCUUAUAAGGGUAAUUCUCCAACUGUGUCCACACUUAACAGCUUAUAAACCCUGGGGUUCCAUAUCUCCUUUGAAUCUCACAGUGACCCUGAACAAGGCUUGUGAUCCUCCUUUUGCAGAUGGUGAAAGGCAAACACAAAGCAUUUUGGUUUUGCCCCUGAGUAGAAAAACAAAACACAGAAAAGCAUUUGGAAAGCAGAGAAAAGUGAAAAAAAGAAAACCGUAGUUACCACCAGAUGACAGUUAGUGUUUUGGGUUCUUUCCUUUUAGACUUUUUUCAGUGACCGUACACACCCAUGCUCACGAGCAGACCCACGCUUGCACAUACAAAAAGGCACACACAAACGCACAUGCACACACACACACACAUGCAAACACACACGUGUGUGCACACACACAAAUGCACACUCACAUACCCACUGAGUGCUCAGUGUGCCAGGGACUGUCAUAAGUGCUUUUUACAUACUCAUUCAUUUACGUUUCAAAACAACUGUGUUAGGUAGACACUAUUACUACCUACAUUUUACAGAAAACUGGCACAGAGAAGUUUUCACUUGCCCCAAGACACACAGAUAGUGGAGGUAGGAGUGGGUAAGGAUUGAGUCCAGACAAACCAAUUGGCUCCAGCCCCCGACCUGUGUUCCUAACCACUCUGCAUUUGGCCUCUGCACACAUCUGUGGAAUUAUUUAAUAUGGGUGAAAUCAUAUCAUAGCCACAGUAUUGCAUCCUGCCUUUUUUCCAUUCAGUAUUGCCUCAUGAGUGUCUCUGAUGCCAUUGCAAUUCUUCUAAAAUGAUUUUCGGUGGCUGCACCACCAGAUGGAGACGUUUUGGCUAGAGUUAACUGCCUUACAUGGGACCCACAACCCAGGAUUAGAACCAGGUCCUCUGGCUCAGAGUUCAGCACUCUUCCCCUUAUACACUGUUGAGAUGGUCACAAAACAAAACAGAGAAAAAGCAUGAAUCCAAAAGUCGCCAAGAUAAGUUGUCAGAUCUGGAAGUGGCCCUAGUACCUGUUAGCUUUGGGCUAAGACUCUUUUUGUUACCCCAGUUGACCUCAUUUUAAACUCUGUGUGAGAAAUUAAUUUUUGAACUCAAGACCAGGAAAACCUCUGUGUCCCCUGAGAAGCUGAUAUGCUUCUUUUCUUUCCUCCUUCAUAAAUGACUAUUUUUCUCUUUUCACUUUUGCCACCAGGAAGCUCAGUGUUAAAUCUGAAGCUAAACUGAAGAAACUAUGUGGUCUCUUACGACUGGUUGCCACAACAGAUGUUGCCAGGUGUCCUUGGAUAGUGACCUCCCAUAUGAAGCCACUUUCCUCUGAUCAGGCCUGACAGCUUCACACUGUGGAGGGAGCUGAGAACAAUAAUCUUUCAAGGAACAGAAAACCAGACGCCACAUGUUCUCACUUAUAAGUGGGAGCUAAACAAUGAGAACACAUGGACACAGGGGGGGGAACAACACACACUAGGGCCUGUUGGGGGUGUGGGGUCAGGGGAGGGAGAGCAUUGGGAAAACUAGCUAACACAUACUGAGAUUAAUACCUAGGUGAUGGGUUGAUUGGUGCAGCAAACCACCAUGGCACAUGUUUACCUAUGUAACAAACCUUCACAUCCUGCACAUGUACCCCAGAACCUAAAAGUAAAAUUAAAAUAAAAAAAAUCUUGAGCAUUCAA